CGUUCGCUUUACCUAGAACAAUUAAGAAACUAGAAGUACUUUGUAGGAGUUGCGGAAUUGUCGCUAAGCAAUUGACUACGUUACUAUGUCGAUAGCAAGUAUCAUGUGGGAGAGGCCUCUGCUAGCAUGUCAUCCCUUACUUGGAAUUCUAUGCACUUAUGAUUGGAACUAUUAGCAAGCGUCUGCAACUACGAACGUUCAUUAAGGUAAAACCCAACCAUAGCAAUAAGAUAUAUUAGCCCCCCUUCAAUCCCAUAUGCAUCAAUUUCUAUGC
rnacentral:lncRNA from 1 species